GAGAGUUUAUACGUAGCUUCUCCACUACUUAAAGAUUUUCACCGCUUGUUUUGUUAAAGCAUUAAUUUUUUCAAAGUGUUUUCUUGGGCCAGCUGGCUAUAUAUAAUACUAACUUAAACAUUAUAAUGCUUUUUAUUCACAUAUGUAAGUCGAUUUUUGAUUUGUAAACCAUUAAAUAGCAAACUCUGACCUUCAGCAGCACUGCUACGCUAUACAAGCGUUACAUCGCCAGGUAUUUUAACGUGGUUAAGAGAACCAUUUUUAUGUAUAUUCGGUUUUUUGGAGCAUAAACAGUUGCCAAAAAAGCUAGACAGUUAAGCAGUGACUUAACAAAAUAUUUGUUAGGGCGGUGAACACCAAUAUAACGCCAUCGUUCAUUAUUAUCUAUUACAAGUAUUCUAUUUAAUAUUUGUUAAUAUUGUUAUUACUUUAGACUUUGCUAAAUUUGCUGCGACAAGAGAGAUAUCAUGAUAGACAUCGAUAAAUUAGUGCUGUUAAAUAUGGUGCUGCUGUUACUAUCUGGCGGGACGCAUUUUUAUUUUUUGUGAACAUAUUUUCGGACGGAUGCGUAUCUAAUUUCCCUCCCCAGUUUGCAUGCGAAGCCUGAAAUUAAUUAUUUUCAGUCAAUUUAUAUCAGUAUUAUUAUUAUUACAUAAUAUUGAUGGACCUGCCUCCUAACUCGCAUUUCAAAAGCCGUUUAGCUGACCACUUCUUUCUCUUUGUUUUGUUCUGCUGUUAAACAUGUGAUGCAAUCAAAUUAUUAAAUGAAUAAACACUGUAUCAUGAUAUAUCGCAGAACAUAUAGGCACCAAGCCAGCAAAAUUUGUACUGAUAAUUGCAUUAAUCGAUAAUAUGCGCUGUUUCCAGCUCAACUAGAUAGCCAGGCUGGCGCAUAUAUAUCACUCGCCCUCACUGAAUGCUUUCCCAUAAGGCUGUCGCUGUUUUUGCCGCUUGUCAUUUAACAAAGUCUAAUGUCAUUCAGCUAUGAUUGAGUUCGUUCGUUCAUUAUUCAAUAACUAAUAGGUUAUUCACACGGACGAACAUCCACCAUCCAUUUCGGGGAAGGUCCGUUAUGUUUUGCCUCUACAAAAAUUUCCCAGUUAUUCCACUAUCCAUCUGGGUUUUACCUAAACCGCACGUUAUUUAGACGAUGGUUUUCAAAUGCAAAUAUGUCACGCCUAGACAUAUUUCAAAUCGUUCAAGACCAAAAAAGGAAAAAAUACACCAGAGGCAAUACAAAAUGGUGAGAGCAGAAACUGCUGGUAGUAACCUUAAUAAGUAUACAUAUCCAUUAAAGUUGUUGAAGUGGACUGCGUUGAUAAAAAAUAUAUACAUAUUUGGCAUGAUAAUUCUGCGGAUUGUUUUGGUUAUCGAAAUAAUUCAGUUGAUGUCGACCAGGACAGAUACAACGCAGAUCUAGUAUUUUUUCCGCACCAGCAGCCAAGGCCAAACCAAAUUCCAAACAGAGCUGCCGCAAAUUUUUAGGAAGUCCAAAGAGUAACAUUUGUUACACUUAUAUGGAUUGUUUUAUUACAGUCAAUAAAACAGCCAAUUUACUAAUUUAAACUUGUGAAAAUUUCACAAUUCAGACCAAAACUUUAUAAUUUUAUGCUCAUCAGCUGCUUUUUGACGGAUGGUGCCAGGGUGAAUCAGGGUUUCACAUUUCUCAAAAAAUCAUAUCGUUCCCCCGGGAUGUGCUCUGUGUGCAGUUCGUUCUCUCAGUUUGUUGGAUUUUGUUGUUCGUUUAUUUUCGUUCGUCCCUUUUUGUUUGAUAAGUCAUGGGCCUCUUAUUUCCCGAUACAUCGUAUCGGACUAUCGACUAUGGACAAGCUCUAGUAGCGGCUGAAAGUCUAACUCGUCUAACUCCCGUGAAGCGAACUGCACCUAUACCGCCCUCGGAGGAGGCGCAGCCACGCCUUGCCUUUGUCGGUCCGUCGAAGGAAAACAGAAAACAAGAGCUGGCUCCGCUUCCCAUCCGGGAAAACUUCUACUUAAAAAGGGUAUACGUACUAGUAAAUAAAACUGAAGGCGCGAUGUGAAUGCCUAUACCCUUCUUGUAUAAAAUUAACUCUUCCCAAACGGGAAGAACUGUAUGAACUUGUAUGAACUGUGAAAGGUUUGCACACCGUAAUCAUCUGCUUCAUCAGUUUGUAUUGAUUUUGAUAAGAAAAAAUUUUAAAUGGCUAAUCGAUAGGAUGAUAGGGAAACAUACAAGAAGCUAAAAAUUUUGAUGAAAUUUGAAA